rnacentral:rRNA from 1 species
UACGUAGGGUGCAAGCGUUUAAUCGGAAUUACUGGGCGUAAAGCGUGCGCAGGCGGUUUUGUAAGCCAGAUGUGAAAUCCCCGGGCUUAACCUGGGAAUGGCAUUUGGGACUGCAAGGCUUGAGUGCGGCAGAGGAGACUGGAAUUCCUGGUGUAGCAGUGAAAUGCGUAGAUAUCAGGAGGAACACCGAUGGGCGAAGGCAGGUCUCUGGGCUGACGACUGACGCUCAUGCGACGAA